CAGGAGGCCAGGAUUAAAGGACCCUAACGAUGAAUGCUUUCCCAAAGUGGGAAGGUGAUGUACGGGCAAAUUCUUACCCUGCCCUUCCAUUCAAUUUAGAAAAACUGGGAGAUUCUUAAUAGGCUCUUGAGUGGUGAGCUAGGGGAGUAGCCCACUCCUCCGAUUGGCCAGAGUGACUAGGUGCCCAUGUCAUCUUGUUCCCCACCAAUUGGCCUGAAACCUUAUCAACAUCAUCAGAAAGGAGUUAUUUAGGAGGCAAAUUAAUCAAGCCUGAUUCGUAAACUACGAAGCAUGGAGCAAAUCUAGGAAGGACAUUCUUUGGAAUAACAGAUCUUCGUAUGAAAGGUGGGAAAUCUCACCAUACUAUCCGAGAUAAGGCUAAAGUGGAAUAGUUUCAAUACAGAAACAAUCUCCAUAUCUACAUUCCCGAUAUAACUCUUAAAGAAAUCAGACUCCUACCUACGAUGGGAAACUACUAAACUGAGACUCUUCAUCAACAACCCCUAGCCCUACUAUAAGAACCCAGGACCUAAGAGAGGCCUAGAAUGAUUUCCAACUGCAACAAAUUAGCGCUAUCUAUGGGAACGUGAAAAAAUUAUCUGCUCAAAACCAUAAACCAGCACAACAAACAUUCUCUGUCUCCUCUAUAUGUGGCUCAGGGAGAGCAAGGAUCAGUGAGAUUCUCCUGUGGAAAUAGUAGGUAUAAAAAAAAACAUUGGAAGGACUGGCCAAAGCUGGAGAUCCUCUGGUGAGGCAACCGAAUGCUGACAUCUUUCCCACACCAUAUAUGGAAAAUUGCCACCUGCUAAGGGACGACAACGUGGAACCGGGGGGCCGGAAACAAACGCGCUACUAAACAACCUGCUGCUACAGUUGUUGAAGAUGAACAAUGUGGUGCGAUGGUUCAUUCACCAAUUCGGACUAGCUCUCCCCAAGGAAGGCUUACCUAUCACACCAAGGAUUGCUCCCUGCCAAGAGUUGGCCUCUAGCCACCAAAAUGGGCGAAGGAGGCCACCGAAGAACGGCAUUCUCAUCCCAAACGAGAAAGUAGGGGUCCAUUUGGUGCUGAGAGAGAGAGAGAGAGAGAGAG